GCCCGUGUGAUAGUGAUUAUAUAUCUGUCUGUACUUAGUACCAAAGCGAUAACAGAGGGUCCUCAGUUCGAUUCUGAGCUCGGGCA
rnacentral:tRNA from 1 species